GUCCGCCGCAAUGAAUUAAAAUGAAUUUAACAUAAUUCAAAUAUUACCUCAAAAGAUGCUUGAACAAAUAGACGAUCGGUCGGUUAGACAAUCACCCGGAGAGACGCUCUUACUGAUAACCUGUUAUAAAAUAUUUAAAGAAGAAUGAAAACUAAAAAGAGUAAAGACCGAAACGAGAGUUUUCUUAUUGCUUACUCAUUCUCUUCUCUUCUCUGUACUUCUUACAAUAAAGUAAUAGACUUAACGAAAAAGUAAUAGACUUACUAAGAAGUAAUAGACUUAACAAAGAAGUAAUAGACUUAGCGAGGAAAUAAUAGACUUAG